GCGAGCGAACGGGGAGCAGCCCAGAGCCUGAAUCAGUGUGUGUGUUAGUGGAAGCGUCUGGAAAGGCGCGCGAUACAGGGUGACAGCCCCGUACACAAAAAUGCACAUGCUGUGAGCUCGAUGAGUAGGGCGGGACACGUGGUAUCCUGUCUGAAUAUGGGGGGACCAUCCUCCAAGGCUAAAUACUCCUGACUGACCGAUAGUGAACCAGUACCGUGAGGGAAAGGCGAAAAGAACCCCGGCGAGGGGAGUGAAAAAGAACCUGAAACCGU
rnacentral:rRNA from 1 species